AUAUUGGAUUGCCGACGUACCACAGGCGUGAUUUAAAGGACAAGGCAUUCUGCAGCAUUGCGGAAAAACUUUUAUGCACAGCUGCUGUUGUCAAGGCCAAAUGAACAAACCUAAGGUCUCAGUUUCAGCGAGAAGUGCGAAAGGUUGAAGGAAGCAAAAGAUCUGGAUGUGGCCCCGACGAAGUACAUCGACCCAAGUGGGCGCACUUUGAAGCAAUGCAGUUCCUGAGUUCGAGCUGCAAGCAAGUUCAAAGUACAUGCAACUUAAAUCUUGGCCAAGCAGCUGAAGAUUCUGAGCAUGGCUUACAGGAUUGUCGGAGUGAGACAGACGUUUUUGACAGCAGCAGCAGCAGUAGCCCUGUAGUUGGUGGCACUAUGGAUAGCAGCCCUAUAGGUGGUAGUCCAAUUCUGGAAGACACCCCCACCCCCAGCAGGUCUGAAAAGAGAAAAGCAGACAAGCAACGAAGUGAUGACAAGACGAAGCUAUUGCGUGCUUCUGCGUGCAAGCCUGAGAGGCUUCACUGGUCACAAAGUGAUGAAUGCGAAAUAUAUGGUGCCAUGAUAGCAAACAUGAUCAGGGAGGUCCCUGCAGGUGUGCAAAGACACGUUGCAAUGAUUGUUGCACAGCAGGCUAUUGUAAAAUACACAUUGUCAUUGUAAACUGGGCAGGGAGACGUAAUUCAGUUUGAAGACUUCCACACAGAAUGAUUUUAACACAUACGCAAGACUGUGUGCAAUAACUAAAUGUGAUCAUAAUAGUGCAAU